GUUAACGACGCUAAGCGUACACGGUGGAUGCGGCAGUCAGAGGCGAUGAAGGGCGUGCUAAUGCGAUGGCGCCGGUAAGGUGAUAUGAACCGUGCCAACCGGCGUACCCGAAGAUGGGAAGCAGUGUGAUUCGUCACACUAUCGUGUAACGAAUCCGCAUAGCCGGCGAAGACCGGGAACUGAAACAUCUAAGUACCCAGGAAAAGAAAUCAACCGAGAUUCACAGUAGCGGCGAGCGAGCAGGGGAGGCAGGGCCUAGAUACGGCAUGUGUGUUGGUGGAAGCGUCUGGAAAGUCGCGCGAUACAGGGUAGGCAAAAGCUACGUACACAAAGCGCAUGUGUUGCGAGCUCGAUAGGUAGGGCGCGGGACAUACGUAGUAUACUGUCUGAAUAUGGGGACCAUCUCAGGCUAAUAUACGAAGCUGACCGUGGUGAAGACCAGUACCGCGUAGGGAAAGGCGAAAAAAAGAACCCAGCGAGGGAGUGAAAACCUGAGAGCAAAUGUACGUACAAGCGGUGGGAGCACAGGAUUUUUCUGUAGCGACUGCGUACCUUUGUAUAAUGGGUCAGCGACACUUAUAUUCUGCUUAGCAAGGUUAGCCACCGUAUAGGCCGGAAACCGAGAUGUAGUAGGCGUUAAAUUUGCGGUAACUGGGCAGAAACCUUGAAAUCUAACCAUAUAGGCAGAGUUGAAGGAUUUGAGUAGCUUUUAACUGGAGGACCGAACCGACUGUAAUAUUUGAAAAUUAGCGAGAUGAAGCCUGUGGCACAGGGUGAAGAAGAGGCCAAUCAAGCAGGAGAUAGCUGGUUUUAUACUGAAAGCUAUUUAAGUAGCGCCUCGUAAUUCAUCUCCGGGGGUAGAGCACUGUGUUUCAGCUGGGGGCCAUCCCGGCUUACCAGCAGGCAAACUGCGGAAUACCGGAGGGAAUGCUAUCACAGGAACACGGCAGGUACUAACGUCCGUCGUAGAAGAAACUGAACCCACUUGGCGGGUCCCAAAGUCAUAUUUAAGAGUAAGGAAACGUGUAGGCCCAGACAGCGAAAGCUGGAUGUUGGCUUAGAAGCGGCAUCAUUAAAAGCGUAAUAGCUCACUGGUAGUGCGGCUGCGCGGAAAUUAACAGGGCUAAACCAUGCACCGAAGCUGCGGCAGCAGGCUUGUAUCACCCAAGACAACUUGCAGGUUGUUGACGAUUGACGGGCGAAGCGUCAAGCACCGUUCAUUAAAAUUCGAGUUGGCAGGGAUACGUUGGGUGGAAGUGAGGCGUUCUGUAAGCCGUUGAAGGUGGCCUAUGAGGUUGCUGGAGGUAUCAGAAAUUGCACGAAUGCUGACAUAAAACGCGUAAAGCGGGUGAAAGCACGCUCGCUGGAAGACCCAAGGUUUCCCGCAAUCAGCAAUUAAUCGGGGCAGGGUGAAGGUCGACUAAGGCGAGGCCAGGCGUAGUCGAUAGGAAGCAGGUUAAUAUUCCCGUAACAUUUAUUUACUGCGAAGAGGGGAACCAGAGAAGGCUAUAUUGGCGGGCGACGGGUUGUCCCGGAUUUUAAGCGUAGGUGUGUGUUCCAGUAAAUCCGGAUUUCACUUUAGCACUGAGGCGUGACGGCGAGGGCUACAGUGCUGAAACGCGCUUAAAAUACCUGCUUCGAGAAAAGCCUCCAUCAAAAGGUAACGUAAAUCAUUACCCCAAGCAGAGUAGUCAGUGAAAAUACCAAGAGCGCUUGAGAACUCAGGUGAAAGAACUGAAAAGAAAAUGGUACCGUAACUGAAGGCACGCGACACAUGGGUAGUGAUUUACUCAUGGAGCUGAAGUCAGUCGAAAGAUACCAGCAGCUGCAACUAUUGUAAAAACACAGCACUGUGCAAACACGAAAAGCAGACGUAGCAGUAUGGCACGCAGUACCGGAAGGUGGCAGUGAUAGGAGUCAGCGCAAGCAGAAGCUCCUAAUCAGAAGCCCCAGUAAGCUUGGCGGCCGUAACAUAACAGUACAAAAUUUAGCGAAAUUUCACUUGUCAGGUAAGAUUCCGGCCUGCACGGAAUAGCGUAAUGGCGAGCUGCUCUCACGCAGAACUCAGUAAGUGAACUCGCUGUAAAGAUGCAGUGUACCCGCAGCGGCUAAGCGGAAAGACCCCAUGAGCCUUUAUAUAAGCACGGCACUGAACAUUUGACGCGGUUGAUGUAGGAUAAGGUGGGAGGCUUUUUGAAAGCGUAGACGCCAAUCUGCGUGAGCCGACGCGAAGAGAAAUACCACCCUUUAAUGUUUGAUGUUCUAACGUGGACCCGUAAUCCAGGUUGCAGACAGUGUCUGAGUAGGUAGUUUGACUGGGGCAGUCUCCUCUACAAAAAGUAACGGAAGAGGAGCACGAAGUUGCUUCUAAUCUGGUCGGACAUCAGGAGGUUGCGUGCAAUAGCAUAAGCCAGCUUGACUGCAAUGACGGCGGAAACGGUACGCUUCCGAAGUCACGCCGUGAUCCGGUUCACAAUUGGAAAGGGCCAUCGCUCAACGGAUAAAAGUACUCCGGGGAUAACAGGCUGAUACCGCCGAGUUUCACUUAUCGACGGCGGUGUUUGGCGCACCUCGAUGUCGCUCAUCACAUCACAGGGCUGGGUCCCCAGGGUAUGGCUGUUCGCGUUUGAAAUUGGUACGCGAGAGGCUGGGUUUUAGAACGUCGUGAGAUUUCGGUCCCCUAUCUGCCGUGGGCGCUGGAGAACUGAGGGGGCUGCUCUAGUACGAGAGGACCGGGUGGACGCAUCACUGGUGUUCGGGUUGUCGUGCCCAGUGGCACUGCCCGGUAGCUAAAUGCGGAAGAGAUAAGUGCUUUUGAAGCAUCCCCAAGCACGAAACUUGCCCCGAGAUGAGUUCUCCCCUGGACUUUGGGUCUCUGAGAGAGGAGCGUUGAACGGCGACGUUGAUGGCCGGGUGUGUGGCGCGGCGAUGCGUUGGCGGAAGCUAGCCGGUGCUAAUGGACGACUGAGCAACUU
rnacentral:rRNA from 1 species